CUUGGCCACAGUUUAAACUGAAUUAAGGCUUUUCACCUGGCACAGGGUAUCACUUUGCAUAAAGUGAUUAAGAAUCUCAGAAUUAACUCUACAGUCUGCUGCAAACACAGAAACCUUGGGAAUGCAAAUAUCUGAGGGGAAGAAAUUAAGCUGGCCCUUCCAUCACUUUGUUGACCUUUGAAUAAAGCAGGGAUGAAUUUUUCCAAAACUUUGCAUUCUGGAAGCUUGUUAUUGUGCCUAAUGAAAAAGCCAAGAACAAAACUUGGUGUGAAAGUCAAGACACGUUAUUACUGUUCCCGUAUGAAAAAUCUUCUGAGUGCAAAAUCUCCUUAAAAAUAAGAAGAAGCUGACAUCUGUGUGUGAUUUAUCAGGGUGUUUUUUCUAUUACAUCAGAGAAGCUGGGCAGUGGUUUGGUACUAGGUGAGUAAAAUGCAUGGAAUAAGUCCAUUAGAAAGGAAACAUUGAAAUAUAUUUAUUCAUUCAAUUCCCAUAUCUGCUUCUGUUAUUAGUCUGUUUCUGACCAAAAUGAUUUCUAACUGUGUAAACUUCUCAUUAAAAUUAUUCAGCCAGUGUUCCCAGAGUUCAGGAGCUGAGACUUGAUUCAAGAUUUCUUAAUUUAAAAGGAAAACUCAUUUUGAUUAAAGCAAAUUUCAGAAAAAACCUGUAAAUAGUUCCUAAAUGAAUCAAAAAUAUCUAAAGAUUAAAUACAUUUGAUCCAGGGGACUGUAAACAGGGAAAUAUCUUGUGAUUAUUCCUACUAAAUAUAGGGAAAAAUUAAAAUACGAUUCUAUGUAUACCCUUAGUAUAGCCAAGCC
rnacentral:lncRNA from 1 species